UCGUUGAAGCUCGCGUGCGCAAGAAUUUUUUUCUCUGGUUGUUUUUUCGCCGUCUCGUGCGUUUCUAAUACAAAUAAUGAUACCACCUAUAUAGCAAACCAAUAGAGCGUGCAGACAGGACACGACGCCAAGUGUCAAUAUUAUUAGUCUCGCUUCCCUCGUCAUAGAUUCACAAAGUGACAUUCAAAAUUAGGGACCAGUUGAAGAAAGGGAGGAACAACGGAAUAAGAUAUUAACGGCGCAUAAAGCUGUCAACCCGACUUUGCGAGUCAUUAAGAAUAGCGCGCAUAUUUUAGCGGAGACUAGAUUGCCCCAGUGCUAAUUGCCCUAUCACGGAAUGGUAGCUGGAACUCACGCGCCUAACCGUCGGUCAAUAACCACUGCGUGCACUCCAGAUUAUCAAGGAGGAAGACGCUAAGAACAGAUGGAAAGCGAAACUACGCUUUUCAUUUGAGUAAUCUCCUAUUGUUAUGAUUACAAUUGUGAAAGUCAUAUUUUACGUUCUAUCGGACGUUGCAAAUUCGAUUUAUUUUAUUCCACGCAUUAUAAUACAUAACCACAUUUGCACAUAGCAAAAAGUAUAUUAAAAUGUUGUAUUAAAAGUAUAGAAAGAGUAUA